rnacentral:tRNA from 3 species
GCGACCAUGGCGGAACUGGUAGACGCGCACGCUUGAGGUGCGUGUGACGUAAGUCGUGGGAGUUCGAGUCUCCCUGGUCGCACCA